UGUGGUUUAAGUUCGAUGCAACGCGAAGAACCUUACCUGGUCUUGACAUCCCGGAGACCCUUAGGAAACUAGGGGGUGCUUCCAUCUGGAAGAAUCUGGAGACAGGUGCUGCAUGGCUGUCGUCAGCUCGUGUCGUGAGAUGUUGGGUUAAGUCCCGCAACGAGCGCAACCCUUGUCUUAUGUUGCCAGCACGUGAUGGUGGGGACUCGUAAGAGACUGCCGGGGUCAACUCGGAGGAAGGUGGGGACGACGUCAAGUCAUCAUGCCCCUUAUGUCCAGGGCUUCACACAUGCUACAAUGGCCAGUACAGAGGGCUGCGAGACCGUGAGGUGGAGCGAAUCCCUUAAAGCUGGUCUCAGUUCGGAUCGGGGUCUGCAACUCGACCCCGUGAAGUCGGAGUCGCUAGUAAUCGCAGAUCAGCAACGCUGCGGUGAAUACGUUCCCGGGCCUU
rnacentral:rRNA from 1 species